rnacentral:rRNA from 1 species
ACGCCUAACACAUGCAAGUCGAACGAAGUAGCAAUACUUAGUGGCAGACGGGUGAGUAACAUGUAGGUAUCUACCCUUUGGCCUGGAAUAACACGAGGAAACUUGUGCUAAUACCGGAUAAGUCUUUACGGAGAAAGCUUUAUGCACCAUUGGAUGAGCCUGCACUUGAUUAGUUUGUUGGUGGGGUAAUGGCCUACCAAGACUUUGAUCAAUAGCUGAUUUGAGAGGAUGAUCAGCCACAUUGGGACUGAGACACGGCCCAAACUCCUACGGGAGGCAGCAGUGGGGAAUCUUGCACAAUGGAGGAAACUCUGAUGCAGCGAUGCCGCGUGAGUGAAGAAGGCCCUUGGGUUGUAAAGCUCUUUCGUCGGGGAAGAAAAUGACUGUACCCGAAUAAGAAGGUCCGGCUAACUUCGUGCCAGCAGCCGCGGUAAUACGAAGGGACCUAGCGUAGUUCGGAAUUACUGGGCUUAAAGAGUUCGUAGGUUGUUGAAAAAGUUGGUGGUGAAAUCCCAGAGCUUAACUCUGGAACUGCCAUCAAAACUUUUCAGCUAGAGUUUGAUAGAGGAAAGCAGAAUUUCUAGUGUAGAGGUGAAAUUCGUAGAUAUUAGAAAGAAUACCAAUUGCGAAGGCAGCUUUCUGGAUCAUUACUGACACUGAGGAACGAAAGCAUGGGUAGCGAAGAGGAUUAGAUACCCUCGUAGUCCAUGCCGUAAACGAUGUGUGUUAGACGUUGGAAAUUUAUUUUCAGUGUCGCAGCGAAAGCGAUAAACACACCGCCUGGGGAGUAC